rnacentral:rRNA from 1 species
AGUGAACGCUGGCGGUAGGCCUAACACAUGCAAGUCGAACGGCAGCACAGUAAGAGCUUGCUCUUACGGGUGGCGAGUGGCGGACGGGUGAGGAAUACAUCGGAAUCUACUUUUUCGUGGGUGAUAACGUAGGGAAACUUACGCUAAUACCGCAUACGACCUACGGGUGAAAGCAGGGGAUCUUCGGACCUUGCGCGAUUGAAUGAGCCGAUGUCGGAUUAGCUAGUUGGCGGGGUAAAGGCCCACCAAGGCGACGAUCCGUAGCUGGUCUGAGAGGAUGGUCAGCCACACUGGAACUGAGACACGGUCCAGACUCCUACGGGAGGCAGCAGUGGGGAAUAUUGGACAAUGGGCGCAAGCCUGAUCCAGCCAUACCGCGUGGGUGAAGAAGGCCUUCGGGUUGUAAAGCCCUUUUGUUGGGAAAGAAAAGCAGCAGGUUAAUACCCCGCUGUUCUGACGGUACCCAAAGAAUAAGCACCGGCUAACUUCGUG